rnacentral:rRNA from 1 species
UACAGAGGUCCCAAGCGUUGUUCGGAUUCACUGGGCGUAAAGGGUGCGUAGGCGGUCGGGUAAGUCUGACGUGAAAUCUUCAAGCUCAACUUGGAAACUGCGUCGGAUACUAUUCGGCUAAAGGAAUGGAGGGGAGACUGGAAUACUUGGUGUAGCAGUGAAAUGCGUAGAUAUCAAGUGGAACACCAGUGGCGAAGGCGAGUCUCUGGACAUUUCCUGACGCUGAGGCACGAAAGCCAGGGGAGCAAACGGG